GCCAUCCUUGAAAUACCACCCUGGCAUGCUUGAGGUUCUAACUCUGGUCCGUGAUCCGGAUCGAGGACAGUGUAUGGUGGGCAGUUUGACUGGGGCGGUCUCCUCCUAAAGAGUAACGGAGGAGUACGAAGGUGCGCUCAGACCGGUCGGAAAUCGGUCGUAGAGUAUAAAGGCAAAAGCGCGCUUGACUGCGAGACAGACACGUCGAGCAGGUACGAAAGUAGGUCUUAGUGAUCCGGUGGUUCUGUAUGGAAGGGCCAUCGCUCAACGGAUAAAAGGUACUCCGGGGAUAACAGGCUGAUACCGCCCAAGAGUUCAUAUCGACGGCGGUGUUUGGCACCUCGAUGUCGGCUCAUCACAUCCUGGGGCUGAAGCCGGUCCCAAGGGUAUGGCUGUUCGCCAUUUAAAGUGGUACGCGAGCUGGGUUUAGAACGUCGUGAGACAGUUCGGUCCCUAUCUGCCGUGGACGUUUGAGAUUUGAGAGGGGCUGCUCCUAGUACGAGAGGACCGGAGUGGACGAACCUCUGGUGUUCCGGUUGUCACGCCAGUGGCAUUGCCGGGUAGCUAUGUUCGGAAAAGAUAACCGCUGAAAGCAUCUAAGCGGGAAACUUGCCUCAAGAUGAGAUCUCACUGGGAACUUGAUUCCCCUGAAGGGCCGUCGAAGACUACGACGUUGAUAGGCUGGGUGUGUAAGCGUUGUGAGGCGUUGAGCUAACCAGUACUAAUUGCCCGUGAGGCUUGACCAU
rnacentral:rRNA from 1 species